rnacentral:rRNA from 1 species
CCUACGGGAGGCAGCAGUGGGGAAUAUUGCACAAUGGGGGAAACCCUGAUGCAGCGACGCCGCGUGAGUGAAGAAGUAUUUCGGUAUGUAAAGCUCUAUCAGCAGGGAAGAAAAUGACGGUACCUGAUUACGAAGCCCCGGCUAACUACGUGCCAGCAGCCGCGGUCAUACGUAGGGGCAAGUGUUACCCGGAUUUACGGGGUGAAAAGGGUGCGUGGACGGCAGCAAAGGUCAGGGGUAACAUGCCGGGGCUAAACCCCGAAACGGUUUUGAAAACGGUGCAGCUAGAGGGCAGGGGGGGUAGGGGAAAUCCCGGGGGUGGCGGUGAAAUGGG